GAUGAGCAGGCGGGGCUGAGCAUUGGUAAUGAGUCUUGGAGUGGAGUGACCAAGCCCCGAGCUCCUGCGGCGGCGCAGCAGCCCGGAGCUAGGACCCUUGAUCGGGCCCGCCCCGCUUGGCCGGCUCCAGCCGGCUCCGGCGGGGUGUCCAGCGGGGCCCUGCCCCAGCAGCCUGGCUUACAUCGAAAUCUAGCCCGUAAGUUUUGGUCUUGAGACUUUGCUCCCCGGCUUCUUGGAAGGGAGCCCACCUCUGACUGGGACGUUUAAGGACUCCUUAGGUUUGUACUUUAAGUGAGUUUUGCAGUGCUUCGCUUGAAAUUACGUGAUUUCGAAGGCUCCCAGAAGCUCAAGACGUAAGUUCCUGACAAAAGACCCGCUUGCCCAUAAGGCGUUCUUGCUGGGAAACUGUGGUGAUCGGAAAACUGCUGUCCAUUCAGAGCCUUCAGCUCGGAAAUGACUAGCUGAUGCGUGGUUUGGAUGAGUGGGUCUUAACCAACGCCACUCCUCCAUGAAAGGUUCAGAGUUCAGGUCGCAACGUUAUACCUACUCAUUCUUUGGUGGGAUAUCAACCCCUGAAAGGUCUCUGAAGUCACAUACCCAGAAUCCUGCCUGUUGCCUUUUCAGUGGAAUGGUGGAAACUGCCUAGGUGCCCGUCCCAACCCUGUGGCAGAAACAGCUGGAGAAGGGAGCAUGCUGACUCAUGGCUCAACAACGCGCUCCAGAAGCCAGCCACUUCGUAUGCUGAGCAGAAACUGGCCUCGGAGGUUGGACCUGCAAGCCCCAAGGUUAUCCCAGGCGCUCUCGGUAUCUGUCACCCCUGCACCACCGGCGCCAACAGUCCCCAGGUCAUAGGGACGCACAGAUUUCUUGACAUCGUCUGAGAUCUGCUGAAUCUAAUUCCCUGCAGUGGUGCACUGGGGAAUCUGCAGUUACAACCAGUCACUCCGCGAUUCUCACCAACACUGGAGACGGGUUGACUUCACAAAUGCCGAGUCUGUUUCUGCUCCUGUGUCAUUAAGCCAUUAACACUUUCCCUGUAACUAUCUUGGGAACUAAAUUGAUGGCAUAAUUAUACUCCCGGGAGGCACAGCAUAGGUCUUCAGUGGACAGUGAGGUGUCAUAGUCCUAAUUUUAAGUUCCUUACAAAGGAUUCAUACCUAUUUAGAUUAUGAGGGGAAUCACUUUGCAAACGCAGUGCUCUGUACCAGAAAAAGGGAAUGAAGAAAUAUUCCCUAAGGGCCAUACCAACAAUAAAAGGCUAAAAUUUUAUUCCCUGACUAUAAAUCUUCCUAGCAAUAUUCUAAGCCCUUGUAGACUUAGUUUAUUACAAAUUAAGAAACAGGAAUCAUCUCUUUCUAAGAAAAAAAAAAGUCUCUUCUUAUUUUCCUUAGUAAGUUUCUUUAAUAUUCUGGUCUCCUAGGCACCUCGUCUUCUUGAGACUUCCUUUUUAAAACACUCUGAGGCAGCUUCCUCAAUGACAGUUUUCUAGUAGCAGAGAUUUGCUCAUUAAUGUGGGAUCCACUAGCCAGGAGCAGAGAUGUCACAGGAGCAUUAAAAAUAUUGCAUCUCAGUUCCUACCAUGGAACCAGAGUCAGCAUUCAAAGACAAUCCUCAAAUGAUUGAUGCGGACAUUACAAGUGCAGACUAGUGGCCCCAAAAUAUAGACAGGGCCACGCUGAACUUAAGGUAUUUCUGUGUACAUAGACUGGAAAGUUAUUUAAUUCUGUUAUACAAAUGGUAAAAAUCCGUAUUUUCUACGAAUUUUAUGCUUACAACUCUUAGGGCAUGAGAAAAGAGAAAGUGUUUGCCAGUUCUGUGUAGCAACUGAUCUAUGUCAGCCAGUUUUUCCAACCUAAAGAUUUGCUGUAAUUACUCUGGUUUCUCUGCUUUCCACUAUCCAUGUUUGUGGUACUUUGGGUCAAAAAUCUAAGGUGAUUGAUGUUCUUUGGUUUGGUAAGUAAUUCACCAACUGUUACUAUUUCCGAUUUGGUAACUGACACCAUUGAGAGCAGCACAAGAGUUCUUGACACCCCAUGAGCCUCCUUUGUCCCCUCUAUACAUUAGCAACUCUAUACAUUAGUGGCUACUUCAAGACAGCAUCACAAUACCACCUGUCCCUUUUCCUCCAAUUGUCUCUGCUUUUUAAGUUGUUCCACAUGCUUCAGACUGUCUCCAAUUAUGGUAAAGUCUGCUUGCUCUUCUAAUAAACUAGAAAGGGAAAGUUUCACCACAAGACAGAUUAGAAUACCAAAAAAAAAAAAAAAACCCUAUGUAGAGUCACAGCUUCUUAUUCUCUAAGAGAACUAGAAAACUCAAACUUUCUCUCUUUUUCUUUCUUUCUUUCUUUCUCUAUCCCUCCCUCCUUCUCUCUCUCUCUUUCUCUGUGUGUUUGUGCUACCUUUGAGAAUAAUUUUGAAAAUAGAAUAUUAGAAUUGCAUCCCACAGAUUAUCUGUCAAAAGCAAAGGUGAGCACCACUGAAAUGGCAUGAAUACCAAAAGUAAACCGGAAUUCUAAAACUCUGCUGAACUACUGAAAAGAUGGGGAGAAGGAGUUUGUGAAGAAACAAGGACACAAAGAGGGAACUGGAUGAGUGAGAAGAGGAGAACCCAAUUCUAAAGCUUGCGUGAAGAAACUGAAAGCAGAAGCUUUUACCGAAAAGAAAAUCCUACUAGUAAGAACCUUAUAAAACUUGUUCUCAAAUUGUCAUGGUUGGAGAUACAGGUGAAACAUGUGUCAAGGCCGGCUAAAACCCUUUUGUGUUGCAUCAUUUGAGAUAAUAAUCUUUCAAGAAGAAAGUAAAAGCAUGGUU